rnacentral:rRNA from 1 species
UAAGACGGAGGGUGCAAGCGUUGUUCGGAUUUACUGGGCGUAAAGGGCGUGUAGGCGGAAUUGCAAGCCGGGGGUGAAAGGCCUGGGCUCAACCCAGGACGGUCUUCCGGAACUGCAAAUCUCGAGAGAGUCAGAGGCAGGUGGAAUUCCAGGUGUAGAGGUGAAAUUCGUAGAUAUCUGGAGGAACACCGGCGGCGAAGGCGGCCUGCUGGGGCUCUUCUGACGCUGAGGCGCGAAAGCGUGGGUAGCAAACAGGAUUAGAUACCCUGGUAGUCCACGCUGUAAACGAUGAGCACUAGAUGUGCGCGGUACGACCCCGCGUGUGUCGCAGCUAACGCGAUAAGUGCUCCGCCUGGGGACUACGGUCGCAAGACUA